GCUAAAUGGGGGCACCCUGAUCUAGCCAUGCCGCGUGUGUGAUGAAGGCCCUAGGGUCGUAAAGCACUUUCGCCAGAGAUGAUAAUGACAGUAUCUGGUAAAGAAACCCCGGCUAACUCCGUGCCAGCAGCCGCGGUAAUACGGAGGGGGUUAGCGUUGUUCGGAAUUACUGGGCGUAAAGCGCACGUAGGCGGAUUAGUAAGUUAGAGGUGAAAUCCCAGGGCUCAACCCUGGAACUGCCUUUAAUACUGCUAGUCUUGAGUUCGAGAGAGGUAAGUGGAAUUCCGAGUGUAGAGGUGAAAUUCGUAGAUAUUCGGAGGAACACCAGUGGCGAAGGCGGCUUACUGGCUCGAUACUGACGCUGAGGUGCGAAAGUGUGGGGAGCAAACAGGAUUAGAUACCCUGGUAGUCCACACCGUAAACGAUGAAUGCCAGACGUCAGCAAGUAUACUUGUUGGUGUCACACCUAACGGAUUAAGCAUUCCGCCUGGGGAGUACGGUCGCAAGAUUA
rnacentral:rRNA from 1 species